GUUAGCGGCGGACGGGCGAGUAACACGUGGAUAACCUACCUAUAAGACUGGGAUAACUUCGGGAAACCGGAGCUAAUACCGGAUAAUAUUUUGAACCGCAUGGUUCAAAAGUGAAAGACGGUCUUGCUGUCACUUAUAGAUGGAUCCGCGCUGCAUUAGCUAGUUGGUAAGGUAACGGCUUACCAAGGCAACGAUGCAUAGCCGACCUGAGAGGGUGAUCGGCCACACUGGAACUGAGACACGGUCCAGACUCCUACGGGAGGCAGCAGUAGGGAAUCUUCCGCAAUGGGCGAAAGCCUGACGGAGCAACGCCGCGUGAGUGAUGAAGGUCUUCGGAUCGUAAAACUCUGUUAUUAGGGAAGAACAUAUGUGUAAGUAACUGUGCACAUCUUGACGGUACCUAAUCAGAAAGCCACGGCUAACUACGUGCCAGCAGCCGCGGUAAUACGUAGGUGGCAAGCGUUAUCCGGAAUUAUUGGGCGUAAAGCGCGCGUAGGCGGUUUUUUAAGUCUGAUGUGAAAGCCCACGGCUCAACCGUGGAGGGUCAUUGGAAACUGGAAAACUUGAGUGCAGAAGAGGAAAGUGGAAUUCCAUGUGUAGCGGUGAAAUGCGCAGAGAUAUGGAGGAACACCAGUGGCGAAGGCGACUUUCUGGUCUGUAACUGACGCUGAUGUGCGAAAGCGUGGGGAUCAAACAGGAUUAGAUACCCUGGUAGUCCACGCCGUAAACGAUGAGUGCUAAGUGUUAGGGGAUUUCCGCCCCUUAGUGCUGCAGCUAACGCAUUAAGCACUCCGCCUGGGGAGUACGACCGCAAGGUUGAAACUCAAAGGAAUUGACGGC
rnacentral:rRNA from 1 species